rnacentral:rRNA from 1 species
CCUACGGGAGGCAGCAGUGAGGAAUAUUGCACAAUGGGCGAAAGCCUGAAGCAGCAACGCCGCGUGAGCGAUGAAGGCCUUCGGGUCGUAAAGCUCUGUCCUCAAGGAAGCUAAUGCCGGUACUUGCGGAGGAAGCCCCGGCUAACUACGUGCCAGCAGCCGCGGUAAUACGUAGGGGGCUAGCGUUAACCGGAUUUACUGGGCGUAAAGGGUGCGUAGGGGGUUUCUUAAGUCAGAGGGGAAAGGAUACGGCUCAACCGUAGUAAGCCUUUGAAACUGGGGAACUGGAGUGCAGGAGAGGAGAGCGGAAUGCCUAGUGUAGCGGUGAAAUGCGUAGAUAUUAGGAGGAACCCCAGUUGCGAAGGCGGCUUUCUGGACUGUAACUGACACUGAGGCACGAAAGCGUGGGGAGCAAACAGGAUUAGAUACCCGAGUAGUC